GACGAACGCUGGCGGCGUGCUUAACACAUGCAAGUCGAACGGAAAGGCCCUGCAUUUGUGGGGUGCUCGAGUGGCGAACGGGUGAGUAACACGUGAGUAACCUGCCCUUGACUUUGGGAUAACUUCAGGAAACUGGGGCUAAUACCGGAUAGGAGCUCCUGCUGCAUGGUGGGGGUUGGAAAGUUUCGGCGGUUGGGGUUGGACUCGCGGCUUAUCAGCUCGUUGGUGGGGUAGUGGCUUACCAAGGCUUUGACGGGUAGCCGGCCUGAGAGGGUGACCGGCCACAGUGGGACUGAGAUACGGCCCAGACUCCGACGGGAGGCAGCAGAGGGGAAUAUUGCACAACGGGCGGAAGCCUGAUGCAGCAACGCCGCGUGCGGGAUGACGGCCGUCGGGUUGUAGACCGCUUUCGCCUGUGACGAAGCGUGAGUGACGGUAAUGGGUAAAGAAGCACCGGCUAACUACGUG
rnacentral:rRNA from 1 species